ensembl:lncRNA
AUCAGAGUGGUUUAACUGUUAUGGUGAGAACUAUGUGUGUUAUGAACCUGAAUAUUGUCAUUCUUUGGAAGUAAAUUAAAAAAAUGAAACUUUAUGAUUAUGUUUAUUGUACAAGUCCCAUAUGUACCUAUACUAUACACAAACCCUUACUCCAAAAAGAUUAGCUUGAGCUUUCAUCUCACCCUAAAAGCAGUCAAGCUUUGAAUGUAUUCUAUGACAUAUCUCAACAACUAUUUUACAUAUUGUCUAAAGCUGCAAAAAUGUUAUUUUAAUGCUCUUAAAAUUGUGUUCUCUGUGAAUAAAGUUGCCAAUUUGCUAAUAAUGCCUGAUCUUAUAACCAAAUUACCUGGGACUGUAGCUGAACGAAAAAGUGUCAUGACAGCACGGUCAUAGCUAACACAUUCAUUUCAAAAGCUGUACCUGCACAGCGCAGUGUAGCAAAAGAAUUAUCUCAGAAAUCUCAGAAACUACAAAAAAGUGUCAAAGUUCAUGAAAGUGUAAUAAAAAAGUCAGUUCCAAUUCAAUUUGAUUUCUUUAUGUUUUGCUAAAAAAGACCAAGAAGAAGAUGGUUUGUUGGGGACACUACAAUCUUUUAAAAAUGAUCUAAAAAAAAACAUGUAAAAAAAAAUGACACUAUCCUUUCCCACUGUGCUGUUUCAGCAGGCCCUGGAUGACUCAACAAAAAUGAUCCCGUCAUUAAGAAUGGUAGAAAAAAGGUCAUAACAGUCAGAGUAAAAACAGUGAAAAGAAACUGUUCUGAAAAUGGUUCAUUGCCUUUUUAGGCCAAUCAUAUGUUCCCUUGCGCCUGAAGAGAUGAUUCAGUUUAACCCUUCAUUAUUUAAGGUUCCAGAAUCUAAAGACUAAAGUCAGAUUAAUAAAUCACCCUCAUUAAGCCUGGCAGCACAGCAACAGCCAGUUGCUGUGCUGUUUUUAUACGUUUUUGACUGAGUCAAUAGGGCAGUUUGCAGCUGAGUGUGAAGCGGCUGAGAGGAGAAUCAGCACCUCCAAAUAUGAGACCAUGUGCAAAAAAGGUGCAGUUCACAUUCCAGAUUAGGGACCAGUUGUUGACCAAAGUGAGUUUAAGUGUCUCAUGGUCUUGUUCACG